rnacentral:rRNA from 1 species
UAGGGAAUCUUCGNNUAUGGACGGAAGUCUGACCGAGCAACGCCGCGUGAGUGAAGAAGGUUUUCGGAUCGUAAAGCUCUGUUGUAAGAGAAGAACGAGUGUGAGAGUGGAAAGUUUACACUGUGACGGUAUCUUACCAGAAAGGGACGGCUAACUACGUGCCAGCAGCCGCGGUAAUACGUAGGUCCCGAGCGUUGUCCGGAUUUAUUGGGCGUAAAGCGAGCGCAGGCGGUUAGAUAAGUCUGAAGUUAAAGGCUGUGGCUUAACCAUAGUACGCUUUGGAAACUGUUUAACUUGAGUGCAAGAGGGGAGAGUGGAAUUCCAUGUGUAGCGGUGAAAUGCGUAGAUAUAUGGAGGAACACCGGUGGCGAAAGCGGCUCUCUGGCUUGUAACUGACGCUGAGGCUCGAAAGCGUGGGGAGCAAACAGGAUUAGAUACCCUGGUAGUCCACGCCGUAAACGAUGAGUGCUAGGUGUUAGACCCUUUCCGGGGUUUAGUGCCGUAGCUAACGCAUUUAAGCACUCCGCCUGGGGAGUACGACCGCAAGGUUG